GCUAAAGUGUGGAAGUGAGAAGGCUGGGGCUGUCAGUGGUGCCAGCAGGAAGAGGUGGCAUGUCUUGUUGUAACAACAAGAGAUGAAAACUCAGUGGCAUUCACUCACUAAGGAGGUCAGGGGAGACCAUAACCUUCCUUGAUGGAGUGCCCAGUGCAGGUGAGAGAGAGCAGAAAGAUGCAUCUAGUCAGCAUCAAAAUGUCAGUGCUGAACAUGCUGCUGUGAACAGCACGUGUAGGAACAGCAUAAUGGAAGAUAAUGGCAAGCAUUAUUUGGAAGGAGAUUAUGUCAUAUG